GUUUUUAUUUAAUUUGUUAGGACGUAGUUUCAUUGAUUCGUCAGUGCUUUAAAGUUUUGUUUCAUUAAGGAUGUAAAUUCGUGGGGGAGGGCUACCUACGAAUACCACUGAAAUUGAGCAACUACGAAUUUAAAUGAUUCCAUUAUUCCGGUAUAACAUUAUUUCUCUAUAUCUAUUAGAUGUUCAAUUAGUAAACGCCAUUUAUUGACGAGUCUACAAUUGUUUUUACAUGAAUGUAUAUGAAUUGGUAUGGGAAAUGUUUGCUUUCAUACAGCAUCUAUAUCAUUUAAGAAAAUGUAAGACUCACUGUUAAUCCAUUUCAAGGCCAGUGCAAUGACGAAACUUGUUCAAUCAUUGUUUUACUAUGUAUUACUUCAUUAAGUUGGAUGUAAAGUGUAAAGCAAUUGAUAGUUUUGAAGCCAUAAUUUAAUAAAAAAAAAAACCUAUUAUAAUG
rnacentral:sRNA from 1 species